rnacentral:rRNA from 1 species
UACGGAGGGGGCUAGCGUUGUUCGGAAUUACUGGGCGUAAAGCGCACGUAGGCGGACGAGAAAGUCAGAGGUGAAAUCCCAGGGCUCAACCUUGGAACUGCCUUUGAAACUCCUUGUCUUGAGGUCGAGAGAGGUGAGUGGAAUUCCGAGUGUAGAGGUGAAAUUCGUAGAUAUUCGGAGGAACACCAGUGGCGAAGGCGGCUCACUGGAUCGAUACUGACGCUGAGGUGCGAAAGCGUGGGGAGCAAACAGG